rnacentral:rRNA from 1 species
UACGGAGGGUGCAAGCGUUAAUCGGAAUUACUGGGCGUAAAGCGUGCGCAGGCGGUGAUGUAAGACAGUUGUGAAAUCCCCGGGCUCAACCUGGGAAUUGCAUCUGUGACUGCAUCGCUAGAGUACGGUAGAGGGGGAUGGAAUUCCGCGUGUAGCAGUGAAAUGCGUAGAUAUGCGGAGGAACACCGAUGGCGAAGGCAAUCCCCUGGACCUGUACUGACGCUCAUGCACGAAA